rnacentral:rRNA from 1 species
AGAGUUUGAUCAUGGCUCAGAUUGAACGCUGGCGGAAUGCUUUACACAUGCAAGUCGAACGGCAGCACGGGGGCAACCCUGGUGGCGAGUGGCGAACGGGUGAGUAAUACAUCGGAACGUGCCCAGUCGUGGGGGAUAACGUAGCGAAAGCUACGCUAAUACCGCAUACGAACUCUGGUUGAAAGCGGGGGAUCGCAAGACCUCGCGCGAUUGGAGCGGCCGAUGGCAGAUUAGGUAGUUGGUGGGGUAAAGGCCUACCAAGCCGACGAUCUGUAGCUGGUCUGAGAGGACGACCAGCCACACUGGGACUGAGACACGGCCCAGACUCCUACGGGAGGCAGCAGUGGGGAAUUUUGGACAAUGGGCGCAAGCCUGAUCCAGCCAUUCCGCGUGCAGGAUGAAGGCCCUCGGGUUGUAAACUGCUUUUGUACGGAACGAAAAGGCUCUGGUUAAUACCUGGGGCUCAUGACGGUACCGUAAGAAUAAGCACCGGCUAACUACGUGCCAGCAGCCGCGGUAAUACGUAGGGUGCAAGCGUUAAUCGGAAUUACUGGGCGUAAAGCGUGCGCAGGCGGUGAUGUAAGACAGGUGUGAAAUCCCCGGGCUUAACCUGGGAACUGCAUUUGUGACUGCAUCGCUGGAGUGCGGCAGAGGGGGAUGGAAUUCCGCGUGUAGCAGUGAAAUGCGUAGAUAUGCGGAGGAACACCGAUGGCGAAAGCAAUCCCCUGGGCCUGCACUGACGCUCAUGCACGAAAGCGUGGGGAGCAAACAGGAUUAGAUACCCUGGUAGUCCACGCCCUAAACGAUGUCAACUGGUUGUUGGGUCUUCACUGACUCAGUAACGAAGCUAACGCGUGAAGUUGACCGCCU